rnacentral:rRNA from 1 species
UACGAAGGGUGCAAGCGUUACUCGGAAUUACUGGGCGUAAAGCGUGCGUAGGUGGUUUGUUAAGUCUGAUGUGAAAGCCCUGGGCUCAACCUGGGAAUGGCAUUGGAUACUGGCGACCUAGAGUGCGGUAGAGGGGUGUGGAAUUCCCGGUGUAGCAGUGAAAUGCGUAGAUAUCGGGAGGAACAUCUGUGGCGAAGGCGACACCCUGGACCAGCACUGACACUGAGGCACGAAAGCGUGGGGAGCAAACAGG